GACGAGAAAACUACUCCAGCCGCCGCCGCCGCCGCCGCCACCGCCGCCGCCAUGUUCUCCGAUCUCGCAGCCCCUCUCGUCGUCGGCUUUCCACCUUGAUUCCUUUCGGCACGGAUCGAACUCCACUACAAAUCUCUGACUCUCCCGCGACCUCGAUUGCGUCUUCUUCGACCUGGACUCCCUGCACCCCUCCCCGCAACAUGGUCUUGCCGCCCUCGGCCUCGCCAUUAUCUGAUGCAGGUGAGUGACACCCACCUCCAUCUCCCCCUCCCCUGCCUCUAAAUGCCACCGAGUAGAAACUACUCUCUUCCCCUCUUGUGUCAUCCUCUCUUACCCUCCCUGCACAAGAUCUAAUCAUGAAUUGCCUCUUUCAAGUCAUCUUGGAGCUGUAGAUAAGUUAGGGUAGCAAUCACUUCGAGGCUCAGGUUACUCAUCGGUAUGUCAUUUUUGUCAUGCUUGUGUGCUUGUGUUGUAUUUUCUUUUGUUGUCCCCAACUUGCAGUGUUCUUCUCUGUUUAGUUUCUCUUUUCUAAGCUUAUUACUAGAACUACUAUUGGGAUGAUAUAGUCGACCUUCUCCUCGCUUAAGAAAUAAGCAUAGUAGCACAUGUUGCUAUUGACUUGUAGGUAGUUGUGUGUUUGUCUGAUGGGCACCAUGUCCACGAGGAAAGUAGUUUACUACUAGAUAGAGUAGGAUUUUCUCAUAUGUCUUCGUGUGAUGGCACCUGUGUCCAGAUUGUCCACGAAGAAAGUAGGUUACCUCUAUGCAGAGUAGCUAGGAUUUUUUAAUAUAUGCUUACCGCUGAAAGUAGAGUAUUUGCCUACCUUCUCUUUUAGUUUGAGAUAUUCCAGACCAUUAAGACGAGUACUAAAACCUUCGUAUUGUCACAACUAUCCACACAUACAAAUCUAUGUUCGCAAGAAUCUGAAGUGCGUCGUAGAUUCAACUCCCAAAUCAAAAGAAAGAAAGAAAUAACUAAUGAGAUGCGUAUUUUUAUAUUCCUGGUACUCACAAUGCUGAGAGGCUUAAAUUCCUCCAAAUCAUACAGUUAACUAAAUAAUACAAGAAAGGGAUCAUGUUCUUUUAAAAAUCUAAUGAUUACAUUUUGCCUUAUUUCCAUUCUGUCCUCUUAAAUUGGCAUAACUUCAUGGUUGGUUGAACAACAAGACAACAUCUUGACAACCAAAAUUAUUCUCCAAGGCAAUUUUUCUCCUGGUACGAGAAUCACCACUAUUCUUUUCUUUUGUUAUUUGAUGUUAGAAUGGCUUGGUUAUUAGUUCUAACAAUUCAACUGGUAAACAGAUCAUGCUUCAUAAUUAAUAUUUCAGAUAGUCAAAUGGAACUUGAUGCAAUGACGUGACUUGCCAAGUUUUUGUUAAAUUAUAAAAAACAAACUAGAGAAAAUGAUUCUAUGUCUACUGUAAGGGUAGUUCCACACAAACUUAUGGAUCUUUUUUCUUCUUCUUGCUUGACAGUCGAACCACAUUUUGAUGAUAAAACUUAACCUUUCUUAUGCUAAUGAUGCUGCGUCUAAUUUAAAGGGAGUCUGUCGGAAGCUUUGGCUAUUUUUUUGUUCUUGCUUGACACUAGGAUCUACUACCUCUGUCCCUAAAUAUAAGUUGCUUUUGCAGUUCAAACUACAAGUCUUAUUUGUGGGGACAGAGGGGUACAUUUCAUGAUAAAUCUUCUCAAUUCUUAUGCUAUAUUCAGUUUUUUCUUGUUUUGACUAUUUACUGUAGAGCAACAACCCCACAGUCCUUUUUAUUCCAGAAAUUUUUGCCCAGGCCUAUUUAAAUCCGCUCCCACCGGGAGUCGAACCCAGGACCUCGGGUGCUACUAAGGUCGCCGCAACCACUAGGCUACAGGCCCGUUCACCUAUAUUCAGGUUAUUGCAGCGCAAAGGAAAAUAUUAUGGGCUUAAUAGAGAAAGUAUCAAAUACCUUGGCACUUCUUAACAAUAGGACAAUUACUUUUAAUAAACUAAGGUUGAUCCACCAAUGUUUUGUACCAAAAUUAUUGAAUUAAAAAUAGGAUAAGUGAUGUAGCAGUUAUGUUAGUCUAUUAUCCUUGAUGUUUAAUCUUUUCUUUCUUUCUCAUGUCUUUGCAUGCUUACCAUGUUUUUUUGCAGAAGUACAUAACAGGUGGUGAAUUGGAAGGAACUCCAAGUAAUUAUUAUAUGUGUGAUUACUAAGACAACAAUCAAACCAAAUAACUUUUGAAGUGGAUUCAGAUCAUGUGGUAAACUUCAGCAAAUGGCUAAUAGCCCCAUUGCCUUAUGCUAGACAUAAACACUAUAAUGCAUUAUUGUCGUAUGGAAGAUAUAUAAUAUUGACAUGAUGUUGCAAGGUAUCAACAACCAUCUUCUUAUAUCCCCAUUAUCCAUUUCUUACCUACUAAACCAGUUCAUAUUGGGUAGUAAUUUUGUAAUAAAAAAACUUAUUUUGCACACUAGAAACAUCUACUAAUGAAGUAUUUGUAGGUAAUUUAUAUAUGAAAUUCCUAAAUAUGGUACGAGUACACAUUUGGGACAUAAACAUGAUAUAACCUCACAGGGAGGAUCAAACUUGUUUACUACCAUUUCAUUUGCAGGUGCAUAAAAGGUAUUCCAGUAAUUAGUUAUGGGUGCCUCGUGUAUAUAGCAAACAUGAAGUAUCUAUAAUGACAGUGAAUGGAUGGAGACGAAGUUCAAUACAAUUAGUUGAAAGGAUAAAGACAAGGGCUUCACUCCUAUGAUGAUCAUUGUGGUAUAGUUAUAAUGCUUUUAUGCAAUACUUUUCUUUUGUGUUUUGUCUGAGUUACUUGAAAACCUUCAACUUGAUGUUGUGAUCUUUCUUGACCAAGUAUAACAAGAGAGAUUUGUAGAAUAUGGGCGUGUUCUUCAAAUAAGCAUAUUCUUAAACUGAACCAAAUGAUGUACCCUUGGUUGCAGAGUUAUGGCGAUUCAGUUAUGCAGUGGAUUGUUGCCAAAAUAUUGAAAAUUUAACGCAUCUUUGUUUAUUAUUGAAGUUCACUGGAUUUCUUUGGGGUAGUUCAUCAAAAAUAUUGUCACCAUGUGUUGUGAAGGUGAUAUAAAUAACAUUUAUAUGAGUGGACCCAUUCUAAGUUUCAAUAUAGAUGCACCAUCUAUAUUGAGUGAGUGUAUGUAAAAUUACAAAAUAUUGAAUGCUUGUACUGUUCUUAUUUUCUAAACAUUUCAACGUUCUUUUCUCAAUAUGGAUGCACACGACAACAAGCAUAUUUUAUUUGUGAGACCAUGAAAAUUU
rnacentral:lncRNA from 1 species